UAUAAGGGAUUUUGAGUUUUUGUUUGCACUCUUUGAUUACUCGUCUUAUUCAAAAAUUUUUUUGAAUUAUUAUUUAUUUUUUUGUGACUUGCUUUAUUAUCCAAAGUACUUUAAGCACAACUUUUCAAUUUUUAUAUUUGCACAAAUUUUUUGAAUAAGACGAGUGGUCAAACAGUGCAAUCAAAACCUCAAAAUCCCUUAUA
rnacentral:pre_miRNA from 1 species